UAUUCCUACGGGGGGCAGCAGUAGGGAAUCUUCCACAAUGGGCGAAAGCCUGAUGGAGCAACGCCGCGUGGGUGAAGAAGGUCUUCGGAUCGUAAAACCCUGUUGUUAGAGAAGAAAGUGCGUGAGAGUAACUGUUCACGUUUCGACGGUAUCUAACCAGAAAGCCACGGCUAACUACGUGCCAGCAGCCGCGGUAAUACGUAGGUGGCAAUAGUUAUCCGGAUUUAUUGUGCGUAACGGGAACGCGGGCGGUCUUUUAAGUCUGAUAUGACAGCCUUCGGCUUAA
rnacentral:rRNA from 1 species